CCUUUACUUUAACAUGGAGGCACUUGCUGUGCAUUUAAAAAUAAGUGCUUCCAUGUUUGAGUGUGG
rnacentral:pre_miRNA from 7 species